rnacentral:rRNA from 1 species
GACGAACGCUGGCGGCGUGCCUAACACAUGCAAGUCAACUUGACGGAAGGAGCAAUCUGACCGUAGAGUGGCGCAAGGGUGCGUAACGCGUAAGUAACUUACCCCAAGGUAAGGAAUAACGUCGAGAAAUCGGCGCUAAUACCUCAUAAUGCAGCGGAUCCGCAUGGAUAUGUUGUUAAAGGUUUACCGCCUUGGGAUAGGCUUGCGUCUGAUUAGCUAGUUGGUGUGGUAACGGCACACCAAGGCUACGAUCAGUAACUGGUCAGAGAGGAUGAUCAGUCACACUGGAACUGAGACACGGUCCAGACUCCUACGGGAGGCAGCAGUGAGGAAUAUUGGGCAAUGCUCGAAAGAGUGACCCAGCAACGCCGCGUGGAGGAUGAAGGUAUUCUAUAUCGUAAACUCCUGUGAGAGCAGACGAAAGACAGAUUAUUAAUCUGGAUGACUGUAUGCUCAGAGGAAGCCCCGGCUAACUACGUGCCAG